rnacentral:rRNA from 1 species
UACAGAGGCCUCGAGCGUUAGGCGGAAUCACUGGGCUUAAAGCGUGUGUAGGCGGAUUGGUAAGUACCUUGUGAAAUCCCACAGCUUAACUGUGGAACUGCUCGGUAUACUGCUGAUCUUGAGCCACUCAGGGGCUACCGGAACAAAUGGUGGAGCGGUGAAAUGCGCAGAUAUCAGGUGGAACACCGGAGGCGAAGGCGGGUAACUGGCCGGACACUGACACUCAGACCCGAAAGCGUGGGGAUCAAACAGG